rnacentral:rRNA from 1 species
AGGACGAACGCUGGCGGCGUGCUUAACACAUGCAAGUCGAGCGGAAAGGCCCUUCGGGGUACUCGAGCGGCGAACGGGUGAGUAACACGUGAGCAACCUGCCCUUAGCUUCGGGAUAGCUCCGGGAAACCGGAAUUAAUACCGGAUAUGACUAUGGCCGACAUCAGCCAUGGUGGAAAGUUUUUCGGCUAGGGAUGGACUCGCGGCCUAUCAGCUAGUUGGUGAGGUAACGGCUCACCAAGGCGACGACGGGUAGCCGGCCUGAGAGGGCGACCGGCCACACUGGGACUGAGACACGGCCCCAGACUCCUACGGGAGGCAGCAGUGGGGAAUAUUGCGCAAUGGGCGAAAGCCUGACGCAGCGACGCCGCGUGGGGGAUGAAUGCCUUCGGGUUGUAAACCCCUUUCAGCAGGGACGAAGCGAAAGUGACGGUACCUGCAGAAGAAGCGCCGGCUAACUACGCGCCAGCAGCCGC